rnacentral:rRNA from 1 species
AUGAACCUGGCACUCCUCACUCGUUGGCUCUGGCGCAUUGCGAAUGGCGAUGGUGGCCUGUGGUUGCAGAUCGUGCGCCAGAAAUACCUGCGUGGUCAACCCCUCGCCUUCUGCGCCCGGACCGGAGGAUCCCAGUUUUGGCAAUCUGUCAUUCAGCUCCUACCGGUCCUCCGUAUUGGGACAUCCAUCUCGAUCGGAACUGGGUCAUCCACGCUGUUUUGGCUAGACCACUGGGCUGGGGACCUCCCCUUUGCUGCGAGAUUCCCUGACCUCUUCUCCAUCGCCGUUGACCCGAGGAUUUCCGUUGAGACGGCCCUUAUUGACUUAGGGCGUCUCGCGUUCCGGCGACCUUUUGGCCCCCCGGAAGUCGCCGCUUGGCACGAUCUCCUUGAUGCUGUCGCUCUUCAUGAGCCUGACCUCUCUCAGCCUCUUGACCGGUUGUCUUGGCGCCUGGAACCUUCAGGCCGCUUCUCCACGCAGUCCUUAUACCGCGCCAUUGCCCCUUCUCCUAGCCCGGCUAUCUUCGAGUAUAUCUGGACCAUCCGUCUGCCACUCAAGAUCAGGAUUUUCAUGUGGCAAUGGAUCCGUGGCCGUCUUCCCUCUGGCGUGGAGGUGAUUAAGCGUCAUGGUCCGGGUGACGGUCUAUGCCCCCUUUGCGGGGCGGAAGAAACUUCGAAUCACAUCUUCUUCUCGUGCGUGUCCGCCCAGUUCCUUUGGGGUUGCCUCCGCGAGGUGAUCGGUGGGGUUUGGUGCAACACCAACUUCCCUGACCUCCUUGCCGAGAUCCAGGCCACCCCCAUAUCGGGCCGCCACAUUAGGUGGCUGCUCAUUGGGGUUCUCGCCUGGACGAUCUGGACUGUGCGUAAUAAGCUUGUCAUUCAGCAGGUUCCUCUCCGACGCGCUACUAAUGCUGUGUUCAAAUUAUGUGGUUAUUUGCAGCUCUGGCGGCCGCUUAGCCGUCACCAGGACCGAGAUGCCAUCACCACCAUCAUCUCCGACCUUCGCGCGAUGGCCAUCCGCUUGGCGCCGCCGCUCCCUCCGCCACCGCCCGAGCCAGAUUAG